UACGUAGGUGGCAAGCGUUGUCCGGAAUUAUUGGGCGUAAAGCGCGCGCAGGCGGUCCUUUAAGUCUGAUGUGAAAGCCCACGGCUCAACCGUGGAGGGUCAUUGGAAACUGGGGAACUUGAGUGCAGGAGAGGAGAGUGGAAUUCCACGUGUAGCGGUGAAAUGCGUAGAGAUGUGGAGGAACACCAGUGGCGAAGGCGGCUCUUUGGGCUGUAACUGACGCUGAGGCGCGAAAGCGUGGGGAGCAAACAGG
rnacentral:rRNA from 1 species